rnacentral:rRNA from 1 species
GACGAACGCUGGCGGCGUGCUUAACACAUGCAAGUCGAACGGAAAGGCCCUGCUUUUGUGGGGUGCUCGAGUGGCGAACGGGUGAGUAACAUGUGAGUAACCUGCCCUUGACUUUGGGAUAACUUCAGGAAACUGGGGCUAAUACCGGAUAGGAGCUCCUGCUGCAUGGUGGGGGUUGGAAAGUUUCGCGGUUUGGGAUUGGCUCGCGGCUUAUCAGCUUGUUGGUGGGGUAGUGGCUUACCAAGGCUUUGACGGGUAGCCGGCCUGAGAGGGUGACCGGCCACAUUGGGACUGAGAUACGGCCCAGACUCCUACGGGAGGCAGCAGUGGGGAAUAUUGCACAAUGGGCGGAAGCCUGAUGCAGCAACGCCGCGUGCGGGAUGACGGCCUUCGGGUUGUAAACCGCUUUCGCCUGUGACGAAGCGUGAGUGACGGUAAUGGGUAAAGAAGCACCGGCUAACUACGUG